CUGAAACCAACUCGUUUCUUAUGUUCUUUAAAGCUUCUAGAGGAUUUUGUUGCUGAAUUCUUUUAUCAAAAUCCUAUAAGCCAACUAGGAGUAAUUGUUACAAGAAAUAAAAGAGCA